CCUACGGGAGACAGCAGUGAGGAAUAUUGGUCAAUGGACGAGAGUCUGAACCAGCCAAGUAGCGUGAAGGAUGACUGCCCUAUGGGUUGUAAACUUCUUUUAUAAAGGAAUAAAACGAGGCACGUGUGCCUUUUUGCAUGUACUUUAUGAAUAAGGAUCGGCUAACUCCGUGCCAGCAGCCGCGGUAAUACGGAGGAUCCGAGCGUUAUCCGGAUUUAUUGGGUUUAAAGGGAGCGUAGAUGGGUUGUUAAGUCAGUUGUGAAAGUUUGCGGCUCAACCGUAAAAUUGCAAUUGAUACUGGCAGUCUUGAGUACAGUUGAGGUAGGCGGAAUUCGUGGUGUAGCGGUGAAAUGCUUAGAUAUCACGAAGAACCCCGAUUGCGAAGGCAGCUUACUAAACUGUGACUGACAUUGAUGUUCGAAAGCGUGGGUAGCAAACAGGAUUAGAUACCCUUGUAGUC
rnacentral:rRNA from 1 species